UGCAUGGUUGUCGUCAGCUCGUGUCGUGAGAUGUUGGGUUAAGUCCCGCAACGAGCGCAACCCUUAUCAUCAGUUGCUACCAUUAAGUUGAGCACUCUAGUGAGACUGCCCGGGUUAACCCGCAGGAAGCUGGGGAUGACGUCAAAUCAUCAUGCCCCUUAUGUCUAGGGCUACACACGUCCUACAAUGGUGAGUACAAAGAGAUUCAAGACCGCAAGGUGGAGCCAAACUCAAAAACUCAUCCCAGUUCGGAUUGUAGGCUGCAACUCACCUACAUGAAGCCGGAGUUGCUAGUAAUCGCGAAUCAGCAUGUCGCCGUGAAUACGUUCCCGGGCCUUGUACACACCGCCCGUCACACCAUGAGAGCUGGUAACACCCGAAGUCUGUGAGGUAACCGUAAGGAGCCAGCAGCCGAAGGUGGGAUUAGUGAUUGGGGUGAAGUCGUAACAAGGUA
rnacentral:rRNA from 1 species